rnacentral:rRNA from 1 species
UACGUAGGGGGCGAGCGUUGCCCGAAUUUACUGGGCGUAAAGCGCACGUAGGCGGCUUCGUAAGUCUGGUGUGAAAUCUCACGGCUCAACCGAGAGGCUGCACCAGAUACUGCGAAGCUCGAGGACGGGAGAGGAGAUUGGAAUUCCCGGUGUAGCAGUGAAAUGCAUUGAUAUCGGGAGGAACACCAGUGGCGAAGGCGGAUCUCUGGCCCGUUGCUGACGCUGAGGUGCGAAAGCUGGGGGAGCGAAAGGG